rnacentral:lncRNA from 1 species
ACCACUGAAAGAAUUUCACCAUGUAAAGGUAAUGUAAAAAGUUAUAUACAUAACUUUAAAAUUGCUUACAUAAUAUAAAUAACUUACUCUAGCAAAAGAACAUAAAUCUCGCUUAUGUUUGAAGUUUGCUGCGAUUGUGAAGACAAUUAAGCCCGGUUGGUGGUCGGCUGAGUGGACACAGGUCUUGGAAUAACAGAGGGUAAUGGUUCGAUCCUUCAAACUUCCAGAACUGGUCUAGUCCAAACCUUCAGUUAUAGUGAAAUUCUCUAAAGGACUUGUGUCAAGUCUUUCAGGGAGGUGCGUUAGUAGGAGAGGAGUUUCAUAGUUUAGCCAAGGUUGCUUGACAGUGUUCUAUGGACUAUGGUUUAUCAGUUGCAGGACCUAAUUUAUUCUUCCCUUCAAUUGUAUAUGUGCAUGGUGUGAACUUUGACAGUGAGACCGGCAGAAUCGCAUGCAGAAUGCUUUAGCCGCAGUCCAAAAGGUUUAAUGUUGUUAGUUCCUAGCAGUUCUGGUGUAACCACGAAGUGAGAUGCAUUUUAAUUAUGUAGUUUUUAUAUAAAAAAUUAUCUGCUUAUAUUAUGUAGUUCAUAAGCAGACAAUCAAGAUACUUGAAAUGCAUUAGCCGUUUACUAAAUGAAUAGAGUUGGGAAGAAAUCAAAGGUAAGGAUUAGGCCAUAGAUAAUAAAAAGGAGGUGACAACCACCAAUGUUUAAGAUCAAGAAAACAGUGCUUAUUGUGUCACAAGCGAACAUUUCUUAUUUUCUCCAUGUCUGUCAUGCAGACCUUGAGCCAAAGAGGUCAAUUAUAAUUUUGAUAUUUGUUAGGUACCUCGAAAUAACUAUUCCUAUGUAGAUAAUAAAAAUUACCUGAUCUGAGCACUAAGAUUUGUUUGUGCAGGUGCAAAGGGAUUAGAAGAUGCUUAUGGGACAACUGUGAAUGUUGACGGGAAAUAGCUAUUUCAAAGUUUGAUUAAGAAAGUCACAGUAAUCAAAAUCUUAGGUGGAAAAUUCUAUUGGCUGAGAUGUCCAUGGACAGUAAUGGCCAGGAACCAAUAUUUUAUUGUCUGAUGGUUAUUCUCCUUUCAUGUACGUUGCAUGUGACAAAAGAAUCAACUUGAUGAUGCUUAUGUAUAUUUUGGCAUCAAAUAUCAAAUUCUAUGUGUGUUGUUAAUUGAUGAAUAGAACAAUUAUGGUAACAGAAAAAGAGUUGAAUAGCAAAAACAAAA